rnacentral:rRNA from 1 species
AGAGUUUGAUCCUGGCUCAGGAUGAACGCUGGCGGCGGGUUUAAUACAUGCAAGUCGAGGGACGAACUAGGAGCUUGCUCCUAGGGAAACCGGCGAACGGGUGAGUAACACGUGACCAACCUGCCCUGCACUGGGGGAUAACAACGGGAAACCGUUGCUAAUACCCCAUACCACGAUCGGACCGCAUGGUCUGAUCUUGAAAACUCCGGUGGUGCAGGAGGGGGUCGCGGCCUAUCAGGUAGUUGGUGUGGUAACGGCGCACCAAGCCGACGACGGGUAGCUGGGGUGAGAGCCCGAUCAGUCACACUGGAACUGAGACACGGUCCAGACUCCUACGGGAGGCAGCAGUAGAGAAUCUUGCACAAUGGGCGCAAGCCUGAUGCAGCCACGCCGCGUGGGGGAAGAAGGCUCUAUGAGUUGUAAACCCCUUUCAGGUGGGAAGAAGCGCAAGUGACGGUACCACCAGAAGAAGGUCCGGCCAACUAUGUGCCAGCAGCCGCGGUAAUACAUAGGGACCGAGCGUUAUCCGGAAUUAUUGGGCGUAAAGCGCGUGUAGGCGGUCCGUUAAGUCGGCUGUGAAAUCCCAAGGCUCAACCUUGGAACUGCAGUCGAUACUGGCGGACUUGAGGUAGGUAGAGGAGAGUGGAAUUCCUGGUGUAGCGGUGGAAUGCGCAGAUAUCAGGAGGAACACCAAUGGCGAAGGCAGCUCUCUGGGCCUUACCUGACGCUGAGACGCGAAAGCAUGGGUAGCAAACAGGAUUAGAUACCCUGGUAGUCCAUGCCGUAAACGAUGGGUGCUAGAUGUGGGGAUCAGUUCACGAUCUCCGUGUCGUAGCUAACGCGUUAAGCACCCCGCCUGGGGACUAC